rnacentral:rRNA from 1 species
AUUGAACGCUGGCGGCAGGCCUAACACAUGCAAGUCGAGCGAGCGGCGGACGGGUGAGUAAUGUCUGGGAAACUGCCUGAUGGUGGGGGAUAACUAAUGGAAACGGUAGCUAAUACCGCACACCAUCAGAUGUGCCCAGAUGGGAUUAGCUAGUAGGUGGGGUAACGGCUAACCUAGGCGACGAUCCCUAGCUGGGCUGAGAGGAUGACCAGCCACACUGGAAGUGAGACACGGACCAGAAUCCUACGGGAGGCAGCAGUGGGGAAUAUUGCACAAUGGGCGGAAGCCUGAAGCAGCCAGGCCGCGUGUGUGAGGAAGGCCUUCGGGUUGUAAAGAACUUUCAGCGGGGAGGCGUUACCCGCAGAAGAAGCACCGGCUAACUCCGUGCCAGCAGCCGCGGUAAUAC